AAGAGCUCACCAAGGCGAUGAUCCGUAGCUGGUCUGAGAGGAUGACCAGCCACACUGGGACUGAGACACGGCCCAGACUCCUACGGGAGGCAGCAGUGGGGAAUAUUGGACAAUGGGGGCAACCCUGAUCCAGCCAUGCCGCGUGUGUGAAGAAGGCCUUCGGGUUGUAAAGCACUUUCAGCUGUGAGGAAAGGUGAGUGGUUAAUACCCGCUUACUGUGACGUUAACAGCAGAAGAAGGACCGGCUAACUCCGUGCCAGCAGCCGCGGUAAUACGGAGGGUCCGAGCGUUAAUCGGAAUUACUGGGCGUAAAGCGCGCGUAGGUGGUUCAGUCAGUCAGAUGUGAAAGCCCCGGGCUCAACCUGGGAACGGCACCUGAUACUGCUGACUAGAGUACGGUAGAGGGCAGUGGAAUUUCCGGUGUAGCGGUGAAAUGCGUAGAGAUCGGAAGGAACACCAGUGGCGAAGGCGACUGCCUGGACCGAUACUGACACUGAGGUGCGAAAGCGUGGGUAGCAAACAGGAUUAGAUACCCUGGU
rnacentral:rRNA from 1 species